CCAAGGGGGCAGCGCCCCUCUCACGACGUGACCCUAAAGCCCCCGAUCUACUGACAAGACCCCAACUCGAUUCAUCAGCUCCAGGUUUUGAUCAGGGAGAUCCUAAAAUACAACAGUCCAGUCAAUCCUGAUUAAUGCUAGAUAGUUUUUUUUCCCCAUCUUUUUUAUGGCCACGCACUCACGUUAUUUUACUCAAGACAGAGGGUAAUUUUUCACCGUAUUUGAAGCCUAAUUUUUUUUUGUUUUGUUUUGCCUCUCGGUUGGUUUUUCUCUAGAACGUUUUUACCUCGCGUUCGCAGUUUCAUUUCGCGAUGUCCACUAGUUAGAUGAACUCUAAGGUAAACUGCAUGUUGCUUUUUUAGAUAUUGUAUUUUUUUAAAUUUUUAACUGCUAACCGCGACGAAAACUGCAUUGGGAGAGGCGCACACAACGUCCUGCUUCACGUCGUGAACAUGUGAUGAAUAACUUCAAAAUGAGAAAAGAAAAGAAAUAUAGGUCCACCCUGCUUCUUGAUGGAUAGAAGACUCCCUUGCUAGAGCCCUUCUUCGGUCGGGCGAGGAAAUUAAAAAUUCCGUCUUGCUAAAAAUUCCGUCAUUUUUCCCAUUAACGGCGGUUCCUUUCCAAACAGAGUUUUUCACUGUUUUUCUCUUGCAAAAACUUGUUCUUUAAUAGUAUCGCUCGCUUGAUUAACUGUGACCUUAAAGUUAUUCCUUUCUUUGAAUCACCCCCCCUCCCACCAAUAUAUGAGUUCAUCUCAACACUUUCUUAAAAGCAAAGCGUGUUGUUUAUAUUUCUUAGAUAGAAAUAAAGAAAAAAAGGAAAUUGCUUUUAUAAUUAACUAAAUUCGCUAUUCGUGAUGUUAGAUGGCGCGUGUCGUCUUUGAAAUUAGUUGAGUUCUUUUUUUUUUUAUUAAGUUUAUGAAGAUUGCUAGAAGUGAAUUGAAUUUGCGUUUUUCAAAAGAGAGUAGAUCAACAAGGAUUGCCAACUAGGAAACUAAUUUAAUCCAUCAUAAAAGUAUAAAAAUUAGAAUAAUUUCUGUACAUUUUAAAAGGAACAGUUCUUUGUUGUGAUAUAUAAUGUAGUCUAAAAACUAGUUUUUAUAAAGAAUAUUUGCGUUUGUCUUUGAUAUUUUAGUAACGAAAAUCGCUGCAAAGAUCUUAAUAAAGAAAUAUUGUUAUAAAGAGCUACCAUUAUAUAAAGUUAAACAUAUCAUUAAAAUAGUAUUGUUAAAUAAAAUAGCACAAUAACCUUGAUGAGGAUUACCGAAAAAGGAUUUGAUUUUACGUUUGUUGCAAAAGGUAGGAGAUUAGCAAGGAUUGCCAAAGAAGAAACUCAUUUUUAUCCCUGAUAAAAGCAUAUAAAAUGGAGUAGACUCUGUAUAUUUUAAAAAGUGAAUUUCUCUGUUGAAAUUCAAAAAUGCUAAUGGAAUGCAAAAGGUUAAAAAAAAACUUUUAAUUAUUGUUUGUGUUCAUCUUUGAUAUUUUACCAAAUGAUAAAGCUAUUUAAAAAGAAAAAUUAUUCUAAUAGCUUAAAAUAGUGUUCGCAAAAUAUAUGGCAAUUUAGCAUGCUAUAAAACUAUUAUUAUUUCUUUUUUGUUGAUUAAUUUAUAUUUUUACGUGUUUGAAAAUUUUUAUUUAAUAUUGUUGUGUUUUUAAUGUUUGUUUUGUUGCACUUUAUUGCUUGCAAAAUCAUUGUCAAAGCACUUCGGUUAAAAAACAACCGAGCUUUUUAGUGCUCCCAUAGAGCCAGUAAUUUUCACCAUAUUCUGGUAGUUUUGAUCACAUUUUUUUCCUAAGUUUAAUAAGCAUAUAAGUUAGACCUAAUUUGUCUUACAAGGAUUAUAAAAUUAAAUACAUUAAAGGCGAAGGGUUGCGCAAGAUUCUGCAUGCAGUCAAAUAUCAAAUUUAAAUAUCUCAAAAUUUAAUAUGAAGCAAAACAUGGGAUUUGUACUAUAUUCGGUAUUUAAUCAUAAAUAAGAAACCAAUUUAUUUCGUUAAUAAAAUAUUAUUUUCAUGUU
rnacentral:lncRNA from 1 species